UUUCCGUAGGUGAACCUGCGGAAGGAUCAUUAAUGAGUUGUCAUGGGGUUCGAUGCUGGCAGCCAGUUUUUGGAUGCAUGUGCUUGCCCUAACAAUCAUCUUCUUACAAACACCUGUGCACAUUUUUGAGGGAGUCUUGAGUGGGUUGCCGCUCUUGGGUGAUUUUCUCACAUUCCCUUAAAGCAUUAUACGCUAUUAACAAUGUUGAACGUGCUCUGUGCCGCAAGGCCAUUAAUAUAAUACAACUUUUAACAACGGAUCUCUUGGCUCUC
rnacentral:misc_RNA from 1 species